rnacentral:rRNA from 1 species
ACUCCUACGGGAGGCAGCAGUGGGGAAUUUUGGACAAUGGGGGCGAACCCUGAUCCAGCAAUGCCGCGUGAGUGAAGAAGGCCCUCGGGUUGUAAAGCUCUUUUGUCAGGGAAGAAACGGUGAUCUCUAAUAUAGAUUGCUAAUGACGGUACCUGAAGAAUAAGCACCGGCUAACUACGUGCCAGCAGCCGCGGUAAUACGUAGGGGUGCAAGCGUUAAUCGGAAUUACUGGGCGUAAAGCGUGCGCAGGCGGUUUUGUAAGUCUGAUGUGAAAUCCACGGGGCUCAACCUGGGAACUGCAUUGGAGACUGCAAGGCUAGAGUGUGUCAGAGGGGGUAGAAUUCCACGUGUAGCAGUGAAAUGCGUAGAGAUGUGGAGGAAUACCGAUGGCGAAGGCAGCCCCCUGGGAUAACACUGACGCUAAUGCACGAAAGCGUGGGGAGCAAACAGGAUUAGAUACCCUGGUAGCGACUGA